rnacentral:rRNA from 1 species
GACGAACGCUGGCGGCGUGCUUAACACAUGCAAGUCGAACGGAAAGGCCCUGCUUUUGUGGGGUGCUCGAGUGGCGAACGGGUGAGUAACACGUGAGUAACCUGUCCUUGACUUUGGGAUAACUUCAGGAAACUGGGGCUAAUAUCGGAUAGGAGCUCCUGCUGCAUGGUGGUGGUUGGAAAGUUUCGGCGGUUGGGGAUGGACUCGCGGCUUAUCAGCUUGUUGGUGGGGUAGUGGCUUACCAAGGCUUUGACGGGUAGCCGGCCUGAGAGGGUGACCGGCCACAUUGGGACUGAGGUACGGCCCAGACUCCUACGGGAGGCAGCAGUGGGGAAUAUUGCACAAUGGGCGGAAGCCUGAUGCAGCAACGCCGCGUGCGGGAUGACGGCCUUCGGGUUGUAAACCGCUUUCGCCUGUGACGAAGCGUGAGUGACGGUAAUGUGUAAAGAAGCACCGGCUAACUACGUG